UCCGCCAGGGAACUACAAGCACAAGCUUAAAACCCAAAGGACUUGGCGGUGCUUUAGACCCACCUAGAGGAGCCUGUUCUAUAACCGAUAACCCCCGUUAAACCUCACCCUUUCUUGCCAUAUCCGCCUAUAUACCGCCGUCGUCAGCUUACCCUAUGAAGGAGAAACAGUAAACGUAAUUGGUUCUAACCCAAAACGUCAGGUCGAGGUGUAGCGAAUGAAAGGGAAAGAAAUGGGCUACAUUUCCUGAUGCAGGAAAUCUACGGAAAUAUAUAAUGAAAAAGUAUUGGAAGGAGGAUUUAGCAGUAAAUAGAAAAUAGAG
rnacentral:rRNA from 1 species